AAGGUGGGGAUGACGUCAAGUCCUCAUGGCCUUUAUGUCCAGGGCUACACACGUGCUACAAUGGCUGGUACAAACCGCCGCGAAGUCGCGAGACGGAGCCAAUCGGAAAAAACCAGUCUCAGUUCGGAUUGCAUCGGCCUUUUGGACUCCAUGAAGUUGGAAUCGCUAGUAAUCGCAGAUCAGCAUGCUGCGGUGAAUACGU
rnacentral:rRNA from 1 species